UACGAAUGGAGCGAGCGUUGUUCGGAAUCACUGGGCGUAAAGGGUGCGCAGGCGGCCGGGUGUGUCAGAUGUGAAAUCCCGAGGCUCAACCUCGGAACUGCGUCUGAAACUACUCGGCUAGAGUACUGGAGAGGGUAACGGAAUUCACGGUGUAGCAGUGAAAUGCGUAGAUAUCGUGAGGAACACCAGAGGCGAAGGCGGUUACCUGGACAGUUACUGACGCUCAGGCACGAAAGCGUGGGGAGCAAAAGGG
rnacentral:rRNA from 1 species